GUUUGUUUCCUCUAAAACUUGAUAAGUUAUUAAUUGCAUUUGGUAGACAAAUGAUUGCAUGUGACAUAACGAUAUGUGUAAUAAAUCUAACCAUCAAUAUUUUUAAUUAUGGUUGUUAAUUAACAACCCAAUUAACAAACAACAACUAAUCUUGACGAAUGUUAUUUUCAAACGCAAAAAUCAGUCACGUAAUAUUUAUCGGAUAUUUGCAUUUUUAUGACCAAGUAACAUUCAUCUUGAUCUACAUUUUUAUCUAAUAUAUCAACCUGCUACAUAUAAACGUUAAAUCAUUAAGCAUUUCACUAAAUACUGUUCACAUAUGUCAUAUGCAUGUCUCGUAGACUCUUUAAUAGCUCGAAUGUGCACAUAUGUCAUUAAUCAUGAACCAUGUCAAACCAGAAUUAAUAUACAUAUUGGGUGGAAUAUUUGUAUAGGCAAUUUAAUUAUACGUCUUAUGAGAUUGUUUUCUGCUGAAUCAUAAAUACACACAUGCAAUAAAAUAUAAUCAUUACUUUAUAACUCUUGAAAAUUAAAUAAACAAUCCUUGCUUAGACUUAAAAAUUUGUCUUAUGGAAUUAAUGUAUGUUACCGAAUACCUGCUCCCACCAUUGGUAUAGCCGCCACAGCCCAUAGCCGGGACAGUCCAUGUUACUGAGAUUUUCUAGCAUUAUUUUAUCUCUAUUUUAUUGAUUUUUAAAUAAAUUCAAGAACAUAACGACAUCGGUGGUAGUUAUAAAUUUAUGUCCAAAUUUAAUCCAUGAAUGUAUGGAUCCCUAGCAAUAACAAAGUUCUCUCUAGAUUAAUAUAGUUGCAAGAAAAAUAAUUAUUCAGUGUUCUCUCUAGAUUAAUAUAGUUGCAAGAAAAAUAAUUAUUCAGUUUUAUUUUACUAUUAUCGAGUUCAUAUAAAACCCAAUAGCUGUAACAAAUACUUUUUCUGAAUAAAUUUUACAUAUUAUUCAAAAAAUAUAAUGAACAACUCUGAGUUAUUUUUCAAAUUAAAAAAUGAAUUUUAAAAUUUAACAACAGAAAGUAAAUUAAUUCAAGUUUCAGAAAUAGAUUAAUCUAUCAUUAUAGGAUAUUCUAUCCGGUUUUUUAAUUCAUUUUAGCAUUUUAAUUUUGAUUCAUAAAAAAUGUUACUUUACAUUUUCAAUGUAAAUUUGUAAACAAUAUUCCAAUUUUAGCCUUAUUGAUCUAAUGUAUUAAUUGGAGAACAAAUUUUCGUUAAUACAUUAAUGAUGGACAAAGUGAUUUUUUGUUAGUUUUCUUAAUUUGUGUGGAAAAGUUAAAGUAACAUUUUUGUGAAGAAGAUGAAAUAUUAUUUUUGUAGUGACACUUUAUAAAAAAACGAAGGUGAAACGGAUUCUUGUUUCCCUCCAUUUGAAGAUUAGUACAUUGUCACAGAAUAUUUGGACAGCUAAACUCGCGUGAUAAUAAAAUUAGGACAAAACUUAGGUUCACCUCCUAAGGUUUUAGAACCUUUAAAUUCACCUCACCUUUUAGGACCACACCUUUUAGGACCAAUCAAAUUUCCAUAUAUAUUAUUAAUUAAAAAAUAUUAAAUUAAAUAAAAAAUAGUUACAAAAAAUAAAAACUUUAAUUUUAACGACGCUGACGCUUCCACCUAAACCCUAAAUCUUAAAUUCUAAACCCUAUACCCUAAAUUCUAAAUCUAAAUCUAAAUCCAAACCCCUAAACCCAAACUCUAUACCCUAAACCAUAAUUAUAGACCCUAAACCCAAAUUAUAUAUCCUAAACACAAAAACUAGACUAUAAACCUAAACUCUAUACCCUAAACACAAGUCCUAGACCCUAAACCCAAUCCCCAAACUUAGAUGCUAUAGGGUUUGGGUUAAAGUUUACGGUUUAGAUUUAGGGUCUAAGACUUGGGUUUAAGGUAUAGAGUUUAGGUUUAUAGUCUAUUUUUUGGGUUUAAGGUAUAUAAUUUGGGUUUAGGGUCUAGGAUUACGGUUUAGGGUAUAGGGUUUGGGUUUAGGGGUCUAGGAUUAGGGUUUAGGGUAUAUGGUUUGGGUUUAGGAAUUUAGAUUUGGGUUUAGAAUUUAAGGUAUAGGGUUUAGAAUUUAAAAUUUAGGAUUUCGCUGGAAGCGUUAACGUCGUUAAAAUUAACAUUUUUAUUUUUUGUACCUAUUUUUUAUUUAAUUUAAUGUUUUUAAAUUAAUAAUCUAUGUGAAAAUUUCAUUGGUAUUAAAUGGUGGGGUAAAUUUAAAGGUUGAACCUAAAUUCUGUCCAUAAAAUUAAGACACUAUGCCAUGUUGAUUAUUCCCCACUAGCUAUGCUAACAACAACAAACAUUAACCUAUCCACUUGAAGAAUUAGACGAACAAACAUAACACAUCUUUUCUAUUAAAAGAGAAGUACUAUUUUUAUCUACUACUUAGAAGUCAUAUAGGACCAUCUAACUAAACUUUAUAAGAGAACCUUUUCAUUUACUAACCAUUUCAUUUACUAACAUAACAUAUUAAUAAUCAUUUAUCUAUCUUUCUUUUCUAUUAAAUGAAAAAUACACAACUUGAUUCAUUAGAAAAGAAUCUUAACUUGAUAUUCCCAGUUUAUAUAUCCCUUACUUGAUAUUAUCUAGAUUUUAUUUACGGGGUUUACUAACAACCCUAACAUUAUGUGAGUGUAUAUAUAUAUAUAUAUAUAAACUAUCAACAAGCACAAAUUAAUUAAACUAAUGCAACACUGGAUGGAAUCAUUGUGAAGUUACCCUAUAGAAUUACGAAGAACUGAAGAGAAAAAUCCUUAAUCAUUUUCUGUUUAAAAUAUUAAACGUUUGUUAACAUUUCUACUACAAAGAGAUUUUUAGCUCUUACACCAUAUUUUUUGAUGGAUCAUUUUUAAAUAUUUGUAUCUUUCUCAAUUUAAUGACAGUCCAUUUAAACCAUCAAUAGGCCAUGAAAAUAUGGACUGCUGAUACAAUUUUAAAUAGUUUAUUCAUUUAUUUAAAAUUUAAAACAAAUAUUUAAUACAAAAAUAUUCUCAAAUAUGAAAAGUAAAAUAUGAUGUAAAAUAAAUCCAACAAAAAAAAAUUUCAUAUCUUUUUUUAAUAUAAUAGGAAUGCAUAAAGUGAUGAAAGUAAAAUAAAAUUAAAGAAACUUAUAAAGAUGAUGUAUGCAAACUAUAAAAAUUUAGGUUCAGUGUUUUCAUGUUUUGAGGAUGCUCUUCUAUUUGAGUUCGUCAGGUAUUUUUUUGGGUCUAAAUGCCAUACUGAUAUAUUGAUAUUUAUUUUUAUUUUUUUUACAGAUAUAUUGAUAUUUAUUAACAAUAUAUUUUAAAUUAUUUUUUAAACCAAAUUUUUAUACAUAUAAAAUUGAAAAUGUAUCCGAGCGGAUGUUCGGGUUAAACUCUAGUCAAUGCAUUAAAUUAAAUAACCUUUUCUAUUAUAUUAGUUUUGUCGUUAGAAAGUUAGCUGUCAAAACGUGAUGACUUACUACAUAUAUAACAUAUGUAUCUCUAAAGAUCAAAACAUUUCUUAACGAAACUUCUCAGGAAAGAAAGAAAAAUGUCAUUCUUUGUGUAUGCAAACAAAUGUAUGUUGUAUGGAUAGGAUUGAAACUCAUAUGAAUUAUUAGUGGGUGGUAAUCACAUAUUCCCUUCUUCUUAAUCAGAAAAAAGAAAAGAAAAGAAAUUAAUGCGAGUAUUGAUUUUGUAAAAACAUUACAUUAGUUAUACUGCUAGUUUUGUUUUCUCAUGGUUCAGCGAGGCUAAGUAAUCUGCAUGAAUCGAAAAAUCAUUAGAUAAAGUAGAAAAUCAUCAGACUUAGAUCAAACGAAGAGUGUUCAAGAGAGCUUGAUAUACCAUGUUAUAUCACUUAUCAUCAUCGCUUCAAAGCGUUGCAUCGAGCGAUAAGAUAGGUGUGUCAUACUCAAUCCCUUAAGCUCUGCUCAGCAAAUGCUAUAGAGGGUAUUUGGAUCUUCCCUACUUGGUGCUUAAAUAGUUUUGUACAUAUUUUCCCUGAAAUUUUCUUCAAACCCUACUGAGGAAUUGAAAGAACAAUAUGUAUAUGAUGAUUAACAUCCAUUGGCUCGAAGCAAAUGACAUUACAAAAAUUAGAAACUACGUUAUAAGAAAUAACUCUUUAUUCAUUGGUUUGUUCUUCUUACGUAUCUCCUUACGUUGAUGAUCACUUUAGUUUAAUACUUUAAUUCUCGUAGUGGCUUUUCUCAAUUUACAAGUGGUGGUCCAAUAAAUUUUUUCCUUCCUAACUAUAGGCCCAAUACCUAUGGCUUAUUUCAGCAUUUUAACAACGUAUGUUCAUCUUUCCCUCAAUUCCAACCUCAACUAAUCCAGUCCUGCUUUUAUACUUAAACUUUGAUAUCUACCGAUUUCAUCAUAAAAAAACAUUUAUGCUCGAUUAGUUGUGGACGGUCUGGGCGCUACAAGUCGUUCACCGGUUUUAUCAUGUCUGAUUCCUUGUUAUGCUGGUGGGAUAAACGGUUUGGUUAAAUUUGAGUUUUUUUUUACUGAUAUUUUACAGAAAUGUUCUUGUUAGAAAACACAUUGGUAUAGACCUUUAAUAACGAUUAGAGAAAUUAUGGUUUCUCAUAUAUAUUAUUCAACUGGUUAAACUUACAAGAGAUACAUUAUAAAAAUAUUCAACUUGACAGUCGUAGCUAUACAUUUAAUCAGACAAAAUGUCACAAUCAAUGUUAAAUAAUUUUUAUCUUUCAAUUUACGACAGCUUGGUCUAGUCAAAAACUGAAACGGUCUUAUAUCUGUGCACGUACAAGCGGAGAAGGUGGCACCGGUGAAUGAGGAGA